ACGAACGCUGGCGGCGUGCUUAACACAUGCAAGUCGAACGGAAAGGCCCUGCUUUUGUGGGGUGCUCGAGUGGCGAACGGGUGAGUAACACGUGAGUAACCUGCCCUUGACUUUGGGAUAACUUCAGGAAACUGGGGCUAAUACCGGAUAGGAGCUCCUGCUGCAUGGUGGGGGUUGGAAAGUUUCGGCGGUUGGGGAUGGACUCGCGGCUUAUCAGCUUGUUGGUGGGGUAGUGGCUUACCAAGGCUUUGACGGGUAGCCGGCCUGAGAGGGUGACCGGCCACAUUGGGACUGAGAUACGGCCCAGACUCCUACGGGAGGCAGCAGUGGGGAAUAUUGCACAAUGGGCGGAAGCCUGAUGCAGCAACGCCGCGUGCGGGAUGACGGCCUUCGGGUUGUAAACCGCUUUCGCCUGUGACGAAGCGUGAGUGACGGUAAUGGGUAAAGAAGCACCGGCUAGCUACGUG
rnacentral:rRNA from 1 species